rnacentral:rRNA from 1 species
ACGUACACUCCUACGGGAGGCAGCAGUGGGGAAUAUUGCACAAUGGGCGCAAGCCUGAUGCAGCCAUGCCGCGUGUAUGAAGAAGGCCUUCGGGUUGUAAAGUACUUUCAGCGGGGAGGAAGGCGAUAAGGUUAAUAACCUUGUCGAUUGACGUUACCCGCAGAAGAAGCACCGGCUAACUCCGUGCCAGCAGCCGCGGUAAUACGGAGGGUGCAAGCGUUAAUCGGAAUUACUGGGCGUAAAGCGCACGCAGGCGGUCUGUCAAGUCGGAUGUGAAAUCCCCGGGCUCAACCUGGGAACUGCAUUCGAAACUGGCAGGCUAGAGUCUUGUAGAGGGGGGUAGAAUUCCAGGUGUAGCGGUGAAAUGCGUAGAGAUCUGGAGGAAUACCGGUGGCGAAGGCGGCCCCCUGGACAAAGACUGACGCUCAGGUGCGAAAGCGUGGGGAGCAAACAGGAUUAGAUACCCUAGUAGUCCCA